rnacentral:rRNA from 1 species
CUUGACAUACCGAUGACAGGUCUAGAGAUAGAUUUUCCCUUUAGGCAUCGGAUACAGGUGGUGCAUGGUUGUCGUCAGCUCGUGUCGUGAGAUGUUGGGUUAAGUCCCGCAACGAGCGCAACCCCUAUUGUUAGUUGCCAUCAUUAAGUUGGGCACUCUAGCGAGACUGCCAGUAAUAAACUGGAGGAAGGUGGGGAUGACGUCAAAUCAUCAUGCCCCUUAUGACCUGGGCUACACACGUGCUACAAUGGGAAGUACAACGAGUUGCGAGGCGGUGACGCCAAGCUAAUCUCUUAAAGCUUCUCUCAGUUCGGAUUGUAGGCUGCAACUCGCCUACAUGAAGUCGGAAUCGCUAGUAAUCGCGGAUCAGCACGCCGCGGUGAAUACGUUCCCGGGCCUUGUACACACCGCCCGUCACACCACGAGAGUUUGUAACACCCGAAGUCGGUGAGGUAACCGUAAGGAGCCAACCGCCUAAGGUGGGAUAGAUGAUUGGGGUGAAGUCGUAACAAGGUAAGCGUAGAUGA